rnacentral:rRNA from 1 species
CCUACGGGUGGCAGCAGUGGGGGAUAUUGCACAAUGGGGGGAACCCUGAUGCAGCGACGCCGCGUGGGUGAAGGAGUGCUUCGGCAUGUAAAGCCCUAUCGGCAGGGACGAAGCAAGACGGUACCUGACUAAGAAGCCCCGGCUAACUACGUGCCAGAAGCCGCGGUAAUACGGAGGGGGGGAGCGUGUUCCGGAUUACCUGGGUGUAAAGGGAGGGUAGACGGGCAAGCCAGCCAGGGGUGAAAGCCCGGGGCCCAACCCCGGGACCGCCCUUGGAACUGCAUGGCUUGAGUGCGGGAGGGGCAGGCGGAAUUCCUGGUGUAGCGGUGAAAUGCGUAGAUAUCAGGAGGAACACCGGCGGCGAAGGCGGCCUGCUGGACUGCGACUGACGUUGAGGCUCGAAAGCGUGGGGAGCAAACAGGAUUAGAUACCCCUGUAGUC